UAGGGAAUAUUAGAAAUGGACGAAAGUCUGAUCUAGCAACACCGCGUGUGCGAUGAAGGCCUUCGGGUCGUAAAGCACUUUUUGGAAGGAAUAGGAAGGAAUGUACUUCCAGAAUAAGUCUCGGCUAACUACGUGCCAGCAGCCGCGGUAACACGUAGAAGGCAAACGUUAUCCGGAUUUACUGGGCGUAAAGCGCGUGUAGGUGGUACUGUAAGUAGGGCGUGAAAGCUCCUGGCUCAACUGGGAGAGGCCGUUCUAAACUACAGGACUAGAGGAUGGUAGAGGGAGGUGGAAUUCCAGGUGUAGCGGUGGAAUGCGCAGAUAUCUGGAGGAACACCGGUAGCGAAGGCGGCCUCCUGGACCAUUCCUGACACUCAGACGCGAAAGCUAGGGUAGCAAACGG
rnacentral:rRNA from 1 species